CGGAGGCAGCAGUGGGGAAUUUUGCGCAAUGGGCGAAAGCCUGACGCAGCAACGCCGCGUGAGGGAUGAAGGCUCUCGGGUCGUAAACCUCUUUCAGCAGGGAUGAAAUUGACAGUACCUGCAGAAGAAGCCCCGGCUAAAUACGUGCCAGCAGCCGCGGUAAUACGUAUGGGGCAAGCGUUAUCCGGAUUCAUUGGGCGUAAAGAGCGCGUAGGCGGCUUGUUAAGUCAGAUGUGAAACCUGGGGGCUCAACCCGCAGCGUGCAUCUGAAACUGGCAGGCUUGAGUCUGGUAGAGGAAAGUGGAAUUCCCAGUGUAGCGGUGAAAUGCGCAGAUAUUGGGAGGAACACCAGUGGCGAAGGCGGCUUUCUGGGCCACGACUGACGCUGAGGCGCGAAAGCUAGGGGAGCAAACAGGAUUAGAUACCCUGGUAGC
rnacentral:rRNA from 1 species